CCGGGCCGGGCCGGGCCGAACCGGUUCCGAGGCGCACACCGCGCCGGGCCGCUGCCGCCGCCGCCGCCUCUCCCUCCGCGCGGAACAAAAUGCCGACCGGAAGUGCAGCUGCAGGAAUGACUCCCUCCACCGGCGCCAAACACCAACAGCCUCCCCCUUCCCUCUGCUGCCGCCGCCGCCGCUGCUGCCUCCUCCUCGCUCGCUCGCUCGCGCAGGCAGCCAGGGAGGGAGGGAAGGAGGGAGCCCCGCUUCCGCCGCGCCGCUCCCCGCCCUGCCCCGCGCAGCGGCCGCCCCUGCCCUGGCCGCGGCUCCUCGCUGCGGGCGGCGGCCCCGUCCCCACCCCUGCUUCUGCCUCCGAGUUUCUCUUUCUUUUCCCCUUCCGAGCUGCUGCCUGGGAGUGGAGUCUGCGCCCGGGCCUGCGCCAGGAGGAAGACAGCCGGCGGCUCGUGAAGAGGAACCAUUUGAGGGAGGAUUUUUUCUUGGAGGACGACUUUCAGGGACUUGGAGAGGAGCCUGAGCGUGAAUCCCCGAGGAAGGUCGUCUUCCCCCGCGCAGUGAGUGGAGCUGCCAGACCCGGGACACUUGCUGGAUCUUAAAUUCUCCUGUUUUUUCUUACGUGUUUUAAGAGGCUUGAUGUCACCAGAUCUGAAACGCCCGAUGGUGAAAGUGGUCCUGGGUCAAGCGAUUACUUGCCGAAUUUGAAUGAUUUUUAAAACCAGCUUUCUUGAGCGAAUACGGGAGAAUUAAAAAAAAAAAAAAUGAUGCUGAGGUGAAGGGUCCUUCCUUGGGAGCUGAAAGGCUUGCUGGUAGAUUUCCUGGAAGCCAGCACUGGGGCUGUGAAGGAAAGGUUGCAGAAUGGGACUGCCCUAAUCUGGAAGCUGCUCUGUUUUUCUCUUCAGUUCCUACCCAGCCUUCCUCGGGGAAACUCCAUAUAAUCAGACUGGCAUCUAGGAUGUGUAAAGACUGCAGGACUGAGCCAUGAAGACACCGAGCAGUUGGGCAUAUGGUGUUGUGCUUCUGUCAGCUCUGGAUGGACCUCAUUUCCGUGAAAUAAACUUGCAAGAAGGAUGUAUAAAAUUGUAUCUAUAAAUCUACUAUUCAGAAGCAGAGAACACUUUUUGGCCUCUUGGAUUUUAGGUCAAAAAAGCAACUGAAAGUGAAGAACUGGCAUUUUCCAAGGGGUGCCUACAGUCUAAAAAGGGAUAGUAAGAGAUUUGGAGAAUUAGACAGUAAACAGGGAAACUGAAGAAGUAAAUUUAGCACUUUUUGUGCUCUGUGUGCUUCUGCAGUACUUCUUUCCUGAAGUGCAUACUGGACCAUUUAAUGAGUGUCUACUUUUGAGACUACAGCAUGGCAACAGGGAAGAAAUGUAAGAUAAAAGUUACUCUCAAUUAUAUCUCCUUUGGACAGAAACAAAGUAGGGAAGAAACAUACUGGUAGUUCUGGUGUGUAAACAUAGGAUUAAAAAGGCCAUCACGAGGAACCACGUGUGUGAAGGAUCUACAAAAUUAUCCACUCUGACCGGUCUCUCUCACUUCAUCCACAAAGACCAUAUGGAGAAAAAAAAUAGGGUCCUACUUAAUUUAUAGUUUCACAGAUUUUGCAGAAACCUCAAAAUCCAGAAUUGUCUGUGAAGUCUGCAAAAUCAACAACAACAACAACAAAACUUAAAAAAACUUAAUAAAAUGUUGGCUCCCUAGUGGGAGCCAGCAGUCUUUGCAGCCAGGAGUGGAAAGUGCCAGCUGACAAGGCAGCAUGAAGAGCAGCAGACAAGAUGGCAGCUGAUCCCUCAUCCUUCUUCCCCCUGCCAGGCCCUUUCCACCCAUCAGCACCAGGGAGCAGGGUUACAUGAAGGGCAGCCAGCAAUCAAGAAGGUGGCUGCCUCCUAAUCCCUCCUUCCCCCUGGGGGCUUCUGUGAUGAUCAGCACUGAGGGGUGGGGCAGGGCCUCUCAGUCUGCGCCAAGGGGCAUGGCCACCACUAAAUGACUGUGAUGUUAGAACUUUACACCGCAAUCAACCUACAAAAACUGGUAAAUCCCCCUGUAAUUUAGGUAAAUCCCUAAAAACAAAACAAAAAACCCCCCAAAAAACAAACAAACAAAAAACCUUCACCAUGUAGAGGGCAGUGAAAAUGGUUUGAGGGGUUAGGGCACAUGAUUUAUGAAGAGAGGCUGAGGGAACUGAGCUCAUUUAGUCUGGAGAAGUGAAGACUGAGGGGGGAUUUAAAAGCAGCCUCCAACUACUUGAAGGGGGGAUCCAAAGAGGAUGGAGCCAGACUGUUCUCAGUGGUGGCAGAUAACAGAGCAAAGAGCAACAAUCUUAAAUUGCUGUAAGGAAUGUUUAGUCUAGAUAUUAGGAAAAUCUUUCUCAAGAGAAGUAUAGUGAAGCAGAGGGGUUGUGUAAUCUCCAUCCUUGGAGGUUUUUAAGACCUGGCUAGACAAAGCCUUGGCUGGGAUGAUCUAGUUGGGGAUGAACCUGCUUUGAGUGGGAGGUUGGACUAGAUGACCUCCCGAGGUCCCUUCCAACCCUAAUUUUCUGUCAUUUUAUGCCAUGGAAAGAGCAGGGAAACAAGGGCACUACCAAUGCCUGCCACUGCUGUGGCAGGGAAUUUGUUAUAAUAAUAUGUGCUAAUCCUAAUCCUAGGAAGAAAACUAUAACCUAUGCCACAGAGAAAGUGGGGGGAGACUUUACCAAUCUGAUCUGGGACUCUGAUCUCACAUUUGUGUGUAGACUUAUCUACAUACAUGUAUAGACUGGGAAUAAAAUUAUUUCUUGAUCCCAAUCUGGUUAUCAUUUUUAUUGUAAAUGUAUUAACUGUUCAGCUAUAUUUCUAAGUACCAAAAGAAAGCAUCAGUGUACUCUAAUGGUGGCGAGUGUUUCAGAGGAAAGGAAGAAAAGUAAAAAAUAGUAUGAAGUAUUGGAGGGCAGGGGAGAGGGAAGAGAAAAUCUUCCUGACAGAAGCUCUUACAAGCAAAAGCCCUAAAGCAUGGAACUGGACACUUCUCAAAUAGAGCUCAAAUUUUAUUUCUAUGAAUCUACAUACCACAUGCUGAUUAUUGCUACAAGAACACCCUUAUCCUAUCAUACUAUCCCAUCUUGAAUCGAUUCAGAUUUCUUGCUUCCACUGCUUUGUUUGGAAGAUUGUUUUAAAACUUGACUACUCUGAUUAUUAGAAAUCUUGUAAUUUCCAGUCAAAACAUGCUUGUGAUCAGUUUGUGCCUUGUGCUGAUACUGUUCUUAAAUAGUUCUUUUGACUUCCUGAUAUACCUUAUAAAUGUAUUUAUAAAAAAAAUUGUAUCACCUCUCAGUCUUUGCUUUGCUCAGCUAAACAAGUGAUGUUUUUUCCUCCUAUGAGAAGUUCUCCAUUCCCCUCACCAUCCUGUUAAUCCUUCUAUGUUCCUGUUUCCAUUUAAAUUCACCUUUUUGAGUAUAGAUGACUAAAACUACACAGUAUCCUAAAUGGGGUCUUGCUCAUGCCUUGUCUCUACUAAAAAUACAACACUCAAUACACAAUAAAAUUGCCCUUUUCCGGGCAGUAUCAUGCCUGGUUUAUGGUCACCCUAUACCCAGAUCCCUCUUUACUAUUAACUGUAGUCUAUGAACCCUCAUUUUAUAGCAAAAGGUCCUGAUAUUAGUUCUUAAGUGUAUGACUUUACACUUCAUACUAUUAAACCAUUUUAGCCAAACAAGGCACAUCUCUAUGUACAAUUAAUGUGAAGCAAUACACUCCAGAGUUUAUUGGUCCUUGGUGCACCGUGUGAACAUAUGCCCAUAUCAACAUAUUCAAUAUCCAUCUUUUAUAUCUCAUUUGAUUAUAUUUUCCCAAGCAUUUUUGGAGAGAUUCCUUCUCAACUGAUCCUAAAGGUAGAGGCUGAGGCAUAAAAGCCCUCAGUUGCCAUCUUUUUGUUUGUCCCUACUCAUUGGUAACUGAAAAAAGAUCCUGCAGAAUCCAAAGUUCUACUAAUUUACUUUAAAGGGUCAUCAUCCCUUAAGGUUUUCUCUAAAACCCACUGUUUUGCUGCUCUUCUGGCCUCUAAAAAAGUCAAAUGCUCAAAGAGGUAAAAGAGAAUGUUGCAUAUACUCUUCAAGGAGAGUGGUGGACGUAAAUGACAAUGCUUCAUGUAUAUGCCAUAUCAAUUAUGUUUUGUGUUGGUAGAGGUGACAGAACAAAUGUAUUUGUUUGAAUAAUGUUUUGGUUAUAAAGUCAGUUAACUAGGA